UGCUGGAGUCACAUGGAGAGAGCACCGAGAGGUAUCUGAAGAGAAUCGACUGCUCUACCCUCCAGCUAUCUGAAUCUUCCUAGCUUAGGCACCAGGUUAGUUCAGAGCCAGUCACUUCGACAUUACACUUCUGCAAUAGACUCUAAGUGAGAAUUGCUUAGCUUAGACCCCACUAUCUCCAGCAAGAUAACAAUACACAGGAUAACAAUAACAAUACACAACUGUCACUUUAAGCUACUGUUUUGGGGUUGGGCAGCAACAGGUAACCGGAACACUCUUUUGUAGAAGGAUGCUACAGGAAAUAGUUCUAUGAAACUUUCUGGUGUAUUCAUUGUUGGGAUUUUUGAGUACAAAGUUUACGACAUCAAUUUCUUUUGAAUUUUAAUGAAAGGAAAAUCUGUAUUUUCUUGAGCAAUCAGUAUACUUUUACUUUAAUACAUUUUUGCUUUGGUUGUUAGGAAGCUCAAAGCUGAAUUUAUGUCCCACUUUGAAUUUAUUUCCCACUUUGUAUUUAUGUCCCACUUUUGUAAGUAAACAGGACCAUCAAUAAUUUAUUUCUGUGUGUUUGCUUUUUAUUUGGCCUUAUCUUAAUUUUUUAAAAAAUUUUAUCAUUUUUCUUUUAAAGACCUUAGUAUAGUGUAUAUAUUGUCAAGCCACUUCCAAAAGUGAAUGCAAAUGAUGUUGGGCUUUUGCUGAACCAGGGUGAGCUGUAAGAUCAUCCAGUAGAUUAGCAAUGAUGGCUGAGACAGUUCUGGCAUUUUAUAACUCAUCAAUGACCUUAUUUUAUAGGAAGAAAAUAAGGCUCUGAAAACCGAAGUAACUGCUGAAAUACACAGAGCGAGUGAGGAGCGAAAUCUCAGCCCAGGAGAAACUGUAUCUUACUACUUAUUCAGCCAUAGAGCACCCACUGGUCAGAUACUGAUUCUUCAUUAAGUGUCAGCUCUGGGCCUGGUUGCUGGAGGAUGGGUUGGUGAUACAAAGAUGAAUAAGACUCAGCUGAGGAAUUGAAUCUCCAGAUUACGCCUGAAGAACAAGAGAUCCCUUCCAACUGGGCGAUCACGAAAGCUUCAGGAAAAAGUGAUACUGAGCUGGGCCUGGAAGGAUGGAAAAGCUUCACACGUGGAGGUAUUAGGAGAGAUAAUUGGGUGAAGGAGGAGAAGAUUAGCUGCGGUGAGUUGAAUACUGGGAAUUUUAGGCCCUGUGGCAUUUGGUGGGGAAGAUAUUUUGAGCAGUAAGGAUUGUGAUACAUCUCAAAUUACACCAGGCAAGUAGUUGCUUACUAUUCUGUUUAUGGGAUCAGCCCUGCCAAGGUAAUACGACCUGCAAAUGUGGAUGGAAAGGACGAGAGAGAGAGAGAGAGAGAGAGAGAGAGAGAGAGAGAGAGAGAGAGAGAGACAGAGAGAAUGCUAACUAAAUCUUCUACAUAGCUGACUGCUCAGAAAACCCAACGCAUGGGACUGUGUUCUGAAGUAACUGCCUAAGACCUUUUAUCAACAAAUCGUUUUCAGACUUUGGUAUGAUUCUAUAAUAUUUCACAGCGCUGCAAACACGGGGCAUUUCGGGACACCCCUGAGGAAUGCAGCGGCAUUCUCAGCUUUCUCUUAGAUGGCUCUGCACUUCUUACAGCCUCCUUGUGACCACAGGAGUCUGGUGAUCAUGGAGCAGUAAGCCCAGCAAAGCCUAAGAGUGGGGCUCUGGAGGGACAGGUCUGCUGUUCUUUUCGGAGAUUGAUGGAUUUGUUACAAUUAGUAACAGGUGGUUUUCCUGAAAUUCUGCAAUUAGCUCUUGAAAUAGGGAAACCUCAGAUCACAUGGGUAGGAUAUUGCUAACGAGGUGAAAACUUACCUGGGUGAUUUAAACAGGUUCCUGCUGGUUUCCUAUAAGUGAAAGUUUAAAUGAUCCUCCUUUCUCAGGAAGACCAAAAUCAAUG
ensembl:lncRNA